AGUCGUAUAAUUAACUAUCUAGCACAUUUAAACAUUUUUUAUAUUUACAGCAGCCUGCUCAUUAUUUUUUCUUGCUCAGACGCUGGCAUUACUUGGGCCUGAGGUAUACAAAAUCCUGUUUUUUUUGUGAAGGUUAACUUGUGUAUUAGCAUUGCAGUUAUGUUUAUGUUUACAUAUAUUAAUUCACAUACGAAUACGCUUGUGUAGUUGUGUAUUUCAAGUCAAGCAUAUUUAUAUGCGAUUAAAAAUGCCGGUCAAGAUCUUCUUAUCCCAUAUAAUACCCCCCAUGGAUACCUGUACGAAUGAUUAUGUCAAUCAACCAUUCUCGAUGACUUGUCCGGAUUGACUGUUGUUGCUGCUGCUGGUAUCGCCUGAUUGAUGUUGAAGCUGUUGCUGAUGAUGGUGCUGCUGAUACAACGGUAGUUGGUGAAGCUGAAGCUGUUGUUGACUUGUUGCUACCGUAUCGGCCGACUGUAAUACGCGUCGAGUACGAAGCUGGAUAGCACUUCCACUGCUUUCCGUCUCCGUUGAAGGUGGUGAGGGAUAGAAGUCCCUCUGACUUACACUUGUACCAUUUGGGACAACUGGCAAACCCAGUAUACAGUUGUUGCUGGCUGCCACCGCCGUUGCCGCUGAGGAGGAUUGAGGAUCGCCGUGGUGAUGAUGCGGAAGCUGAUGGUGGAUAGCGUUGCUCGUUGUAGCCCCUGACAUUGGUCCUACGCCGUUGUAUGGUAGGGAAUCCGAAAUUUUUGCGGACUGCGGCUGGUCCAAUACCACGACGGAUACCACAUCUUCACUCGCCCACCGGGCUAACUGUUGUUGAGCUUGAAUAAAGUCAUCACUAGAAAAUAAUAAUCGUAACAGGAACAACGGUACAUGGUAAGAAAGCAGGGGGCGUUCACGGGAAAAAUGGAAUAGGAUUGGUUCAGGUUGAAAAGAUUCGAAAAAGAUUCUGGUUUUACCGACCCAAUAAAAAUUUGUAAAUUCUGAUUAAACAUGUACAUCUUCAUUCAGAAA